rnacentral:rRNA from 1 species
UACGUAGGGGGGCAAGCGUUGUCCGGAUUUAUUGGGCGUAAAGAGCGUGUAGGCGGCUUGGUAGGUCUCGCGUCAAAACCUGAGGCUCAACCUCAGUUCGCGUGGGAAACCACCUAGCUAGAGUCCGGAAGAGGAGAACGGAACUCCCAGUGUAGCGGUGAAAAUGCGCAGAUAUUGGGAAGAACACCAGUGGCGAAGGCGGUUCUCUGGACAGUUCCUGACGCUGAGGCACGAAGGUCAGGGGGAGCAAACGGGGAUUAGAAAACCCCUG